rnacentral:rRNA from 1 species
GGGGAGUGAAAUAGAACCUGAAACCGUGUGCUUACAAGUAGUCAGAGCCCGUUAAUGGGUGAUGGCGUGCCUUUUGUAGAAUGAACCGGCGAGUUACGAUUUGAUGCAAGGUUAAGCAGUAAAUGUGGAGCCGUAGCGAAAGCGAGUCUGAAUAGGGCGUUUAGUAUUUGGUCGUAGACCCGAAACCAGGUGAUCUACCCUUGGUCAGGUUGAAGUUCAGGUAACACUGAAUGGAGGACCGAACCGACUUACGUUGAAAAGUGAGCGGAUGAACUGAGGGUAGCGGAGAAAUUCCAAUCGAACCUGGAGAUAGCUGGUUCUCUCCGAAAUAGCUUUAGGGCUAGCCUCAAGUGAUGAUUAUUGGAGGUAGAGCACUGUUUGGACGAGGGGCCCCUCUCGGGUUACCGAAUUCAGACAAACUCCGAAUGCCAAUUAAUUUAACUUGGGAGUCAGAACAUGGGUGAUAAGGUCCGUGUUCGAAAGGGAAACAGCCCAGACCACCAGCUAAGGUCCCAAAAUAUAUGUUAAGUGGAAAAGGAUGUGGCGUUGCCCAGACAACUAGGAUGUUGGCUUAGAAGCAGCCAUCAUUUAAAGAGUGCGUAAUAGCUCACUAGUCGAGUGACACUGCGCCGAAAAUGUACCGGGGCUAAACAUAUUACCGAAGCUGUGGAUUGUCCUUUGGACAAUGGUAGGAGAGCGUUCUAAGGGCGUUGAAGCAUGAUCGUAAGGACAUGUGGAGCGCUUAGAAGUGAGAAUGCCGGUGUGAGUAGCGAAAGACGGGUGAGAAUCCCGUCCACCGAUUGACUAAGGUUUCCAGAGGAAGGCUCGUCCGCUCUGGGUUAGUCGGGUCCUAAGCUGAGGCCGACAGGCGUAGGCGAUGGAUAACAGGUUGAUAUUCCUGUACCACCUAUAAUCGUUUUAAUCGAUGGGGGGACGCAGUAGGAUAGGCGAAGCGUGCGAUUGGAUUGCACGUCUAAGCAGUAAGGCUGAGUAUUAGGCAAAUCCGGUACUCGUUAAGGCUGAGCUGUGAUGGGGAGAAGACAUUGAGUCUUCGAGUCGUUGAUUUCACACUGCCGAGAAAAGCCUCUAGAUAGAAAAUAGGUGCCCGUACCGCAAACCGACACAGGUAGUCAAGAUGAGAAUUCUAAGGUGAGCGAGCGAACUCUCGUUAAGGAACUCGGCAAAAUGACCCCGUAACUUCGGGAGAAGGGGUGCUCUUUAGGGUUAACGCCCAGAAGAGCCGCAGUGAAUAGGCCCAAGCGACUGUUUAUCAAAAACACAGGUCUCUGCUAAACCGUAAGGUGAUGUAUAGGGGCUGACGCCUGCCCGGUGCUGGAAGGUUAAGAGGAGUGGUUAGCUUCUGCGAAGCUACGAAUCGAAGCCCCAGUAAACGGCGGCCGUAACUAUAACGGUCCUAAGGUAGCGAAAUUCCUUGUCGGGUAAGUUCCGACCCGCACGAAAGGCGUAACGAUUUGGGCACUGUCUCAACGAGAGACUCGGUGAAAUCAUAGUACCUGUGAAGAUGCAGGUUACCCGCGACAGGACGGAAAGACCCCGUGGAGCUUUACUGUAGCCUGAUAUUGAAAUUCGGCACAGCUUGUACAGGAUAGGUAGGAGCCUUUGAAACGUGAGCGCUAGCUUACGUGGAGGCGCUGGUGGGAUACUACCCUAGCUGUGUUGGCUUUCUAACCCGCACCACUUAUCGUGGUGGGAGACAGUGUCAGGCGGGCAGUUUGACUGGGGCGGUCGCCUCCUAAAAGGUAACGGAGGCGCUCAAAGGUUCCCUCAGAAUGGUUGGAAAUCAUUCAUAGAGUGUAAAGGCAUAAGGGAGCUUGACUGCGAGACCUACAAGUCGAGCAGGGUCGAAAGACGGACUUAGUGAUCCGGUGGUUCCGCAUGGAAGGGCCAUCGCUCAACGGAUAAAAGCUACCCCGGGGAUAACAGGCUUAUCUCCCCCAAGAGUUCACAUCGACGGGGAGGUUUGGCACCUCGAUGUCGGCUCAUCGCAUCCUGGGGCUGUAGUCGGUCCCAAGGGUUGGGCUGUUCGCCCAUUAAAGCGGUACGCGAGCUGGGUUCAGAACGUCGUGAGACAGUUCGGUCCCUAUCCGUCGUGGGCGUAGGAAAUUUGAGAGGAGCUGUCCUUAGUACGAGAGGACCGGGAUGGACAUACCUCUGGUGUACCAGUUGUCGUGCCAACGGCAUAGCUGGGUAGCUAUGUGUGGACGGGAUAAGUGCUGAAAGCAUCUAAGCAUGAAGCCCCCCUCAAGAUGAGAUUUCCCAACUUCGGUUAUAAGAUCCCUCAAAGAUGAUGAGGUUAAUAGGUUCGAGGUGGAAGCAUGGUGACAUGUGGAGCUGACGAAUACUAAUCGAUCGAAGACUUAAUCAA